rnacentral:rRNA from 1 species
UCGAGGAUCUUCGGCAAUGGGCGCAAGCCUGACCGAGCGACGCCGAGUGCGCGAUGAAGGCCUUCGGGUUGUAAAGCGCUGUCGAGGGGGAGGAAAGCCCGCAAGGGUCUGACCUAUCCCUGGAGGAAGCACGGGCUAAGUUCGUGCCAGCAGCCGCGGUAAGACGAACCGUGCCAACGUUGUUCGGAAUCACUGGGCUUAAAGGGCGCGUAGGCGGUCGAUCACGUCCGGGGUGAAAGCUUUCGGCUUAACCGGAAAAGUGCCUUGGAUACGGAUCGACUCGAGGGAGGUAGGGGCAGGUGGAACUUCCAGUGGAGCGGUGAAAUGCGUUGAUAUUGGAAGGAACGCCGGUGGCGAAAGCGACCUGCUGGAUCUCUUCUGACGCUGAUGCGCGAAAGCUAGGGGAGCAAACGGGAUUAGAUACCCCGGUAGUCCUAGCCCUAAACGAUGGGUACUAGAUAGGAGACUAAACAUGGGUUUCCUGUCGAAGCAAAAGUGCUAAGUACCCCGCCUGGGGAGUAUGGUCGCAAGGCUGA